UACGUAUGGUGCAAGCGUUAUCCGGAUUUACUGGGUGUAAAGGGAGCGCAGGCGGCACGGCAAGCCUGAUGUGAAAGCCCGCGGCCCAACCGCGGGACUGCAUUGGGAACUACCGGGCUGGAGUGCCGGAGAGGUAGGCGGAAUUCCUAGUGUAGCGGUGAAAUGCGUAGAUAUUAGGAGGAACACCAGUGGCGAAGGCGGCUUGCUGGACGAAAACUGACGUUGAGGCUCGAAAGCGUGGGGAGCAAACAGG
rnacentral:rRNA from 1 species